GGGUGCGUAGCUCAAUUGGUUAGAGCGUCCGCCUUACACGCGGAAGGUUAUGGGUUCAAGUCCUAUCGCACCCA
rnacentral:tRNA from 1 species